ACUCCUACGGGAGGCAGCAGUGAGGAAUUUUGGACAAUGGGGGCAACCCUGAUCCAGCCAUGCCGCGUGCGGGAAGAAGGCCUUCGGGUUGUAAACCGCUUUUAGCCGGGAAGAAAAGGCGAGGGAUAACACCCUUCGUUCUUGACGGUACCGGCGGAAUAAGCACCGGCUAACUACGUGCCAGCAGCCGCGGUAAUACGUAGGGUGCGAGCGUUAAUCGGAAUUACUGGGCGUAAAGCGUGCGCAGGCGGUUCGUUAAGUCUGAUGUGAAAGCCCCGGGCUCAACCUGGGAAUGGCAUUGGAUACUGGCGGGCUUGAGUGUGGCAGAGGGGGGUGGAAUUCCGCGUGUAGCAGUGAAAUGCGUAGAGAUGCGGAGGAACACCGAUGGCGAAGGCAGCCCCCUGGGCUGACACUGACGCUCAGGCACGAAAGCGUGGGGAGCAAACAGGAUUAGAUACCCUGGUAGUC
rnacentral:rRNA from 1 species